AUUGAACGCUGGCGGCAUGCUUUACACAUGCAAGUCGAACGGUAACAGCACUUCGGUGGCUGACGAGUGGCGCACGGGUGAGUAAUACAUCGGAACGUGCCUAGUAGUGGGGGAUAACUACUCGAAAGAGUAGCUAAUACCGCAUGAGAUCUAAGGAUGAAAGCAGGGGACCUUCGGGCCUUGCGCUUCUAGAGCGGCUGAUGGCAGAUUAGGUAGUUGGUGGGAUAAAAGCUUACCAAGCCGACGAUCUGUAGCUGGUCUGAGAGGACGACCAGCCACACUGGGACUGAGACACGGCCCAGACUCCUACGGGAGGCAGCAGUGGGGAAUUUUGGACAAUGGGCGCAAGCCUGAUCCAGCAAUGCCGCGUGCAGGAUGAAGGCCUUCGGGUUGUAAACUGCCUUUGUACGGAACGAAAAGCCCUCUUCUAAUACAGGAGGGUCAUGACGGUACCGUAAGAAUAAGCACCGGCUAACUACGUG
rnacentral:rRNA from 1 species